GCUCUUGUGGCGGAACUGGUAGACGCGCGCGACUCAAAAUCGCGUUCUUUUCAAGAGUGUGAGUUCGAUUCUCACCGAGAGCACCA
rnacentral:tRNA from 1 species